rnacentral:piRNA from 1 species
UAAAGGAUGAGUUUGGAUGACCAG